UACGUAGGGUGCGAGCGUUAAUCGGAAUUACUGGGCGUAAAGCGUGCGCAGGCGGCGCGUUAAGACAGGUGUGAAAGCCCCGAGCUUAACUUGGGAAUUGCGCUUGUGACUGGCGUGCUGGAGUGUGGCAGAGGGAGGUGGAAUUCCACGUGUAGCAGUGAAAUGCGUAGAGAUCAGGAGGAACACCCAUGGCGAAGGCAGCUCUCUGGUCGACCUCUGACGCUGAGACGCGAAAGCGUGGGGAGCGAACGGG
rnacentral:rRNA from 1 species